UGAUUGUCCAAACGCAAUUCUUG
rnacentral:ncRNA from 81 species